rnacentral:rRNA from 1 species
AAUGAACGCUGGCGGCAUGCCUAACACAUGCAAGUCGAGCGGAAGCAUGACCUGGUUUUUUAGGUUGAUGGCGAGUGGCACACGGGUGAGUAAUGUGGCGGAACUUGCCUUAUGUCGGGGGUUACCGUAGCGAACCUUACGCAAUUACCGCAUAUUCACUGAGCAGCAAAGCACCGGACCUACGGGCGUUGUUCUAGACAAGUAUAGGCUGGUGGAUUAGCGAGUUGGUGAGGUUAAGGCUCACCAAGGCAACGAUCCGUAGCGGGUCUGAGAGGAUGAUCCGCCACACUGGGACUGAGACACGGUCCAGACUCCUACGGGAGGCAGCAGUGGGGAAUUUUGGACAAUGGGCGCAAGCCUGAUGCAGCCACGCCGCGUGAGUGAAGAAGGCCUUCGGGUCGUAAAGCUCUGUCGGCUGGGAAGAAAUCGCACCCUCUAAUACAGGCUGUGGAUGACGGUACCAACAGAGGAAGCACCGGCUAACUACGUG